rnacentral:rRNA from 1 species
AACUUUCAACAACGGAUCUCUUGGUUCUGGCAUCGAUGAAGAACGCAGCGAAAUGCGAUAAGUAGUGUGAAUUGCAGAAUUCAGUGAAUCAUCGAAUCUUUGAACGCACAUUGCGCCCUUUGGCAAUCCUUAGGGCAUGCCUGUUCGAGCGUCAUC